CAAACAUCGUAAGCUUGCGUUGCUUUGCGUAGCGAGACCUCAAAAAAAAAUAUACUAUAAUACAAAAUUGUUUGAUAAACCGCUUCGAAGCGCUUUCAACAGAUUUCACUGCGAGGGCGAGGGCAGUUUUCAAAAGAGAUGAAAGUCUUUAAACCAGAUUUUGAGGUAACAAAAUUGGAUAUACGAUGUGAUAUUUCCGUCAAGUAGAACAGGGUAUGACAACAACAUCAUCAACAACAACUACAAUGAAAACAAAGCUGAGACACUGUUGAAGGCGUCUACAGUGGCCGUGGUAGGCGUGGCCGCCAGCGCCUACCGCAAAAGUGAACCCUGACCCCGCAGCCGCAAACCCGUAACGCGCAAACAAAAACGUAAAACGAAAAAGUAAAAAAAAAAAAAAGUUUUUGAUUUUUGUGAAAAAUGUUUUUGCGUUUUUGUUUUCGUUGUGUGUGAAAAAUGAAAAUGUUGGAAAGCGAGCGGGAGGAGGAGGAGGAAGAGGGGAAGGGAGAGCAGGACAGGAGGACAGCCUUCAACAGGGCCACAAUGAAUGAAAUGAUGGCGCCGACAGGCGGGCAGUCAGAAUACCAACUAAUGGGCGUGGCAGACGGACGGACAGACAGACAGACGGACAGACGGACAGAGUGCCUAUGAAGUUUGUUGUUUGCCCGGCAGCUGCUCAAAAGCUGCGCUUGAGUUGUGAGGAAAUGGAAGAGCAUGAGGAGGAAAACAGGAAGGCAGCAAAGCUUUAGAGAGCGGUGAGGUGGGGAGGGGAGUGGAGAGCUGAAGAGGGGGCGUGAGCUGUUUUGGAGCAUUUUUUUGGGCGCACUAAUUGACUUUUUAUGCUGUGCGUCGCUCGGGCGUUUGAUAAGGACAUCUCAGACAGAGUGAAGCAGAGAUAGCAAAAGCGAAGAGAGCAGAGAUAAACAAAACGGAAUAACAGCCAUAAAGUAGGAGAGCGAUGGGGGAGAGAGGGGGAAAGCUGAUCUCUGGACUGCGUCUAGACAAACAAACAUUCAGUCAACGCACGCUUUUUAUUUGGUGGCGCCUCCGCCAACAACACAUGCAACCAGAAGGAGAAAAGGAAGUUGGCCAAGGACGCAGGACGAGAGGAAAAAAGAUGUAGAAGAAAAAUGGCCCAAGUUUUGACACCGCAAAGCAAAGGAACGAGCUAAUCAAAACUUCUAGUAAUAUGUCGAAUAUUUUUAUAUUGACGUGUUUUUAAUAGACAACAAAAUGAGACAUCAAAGCGAUUAGGAAAACUUUACAAUUUUAAGACUAUAUAGACUUCAAUUCAUACAACAAGAAAGUUCUUUACAAAAAAUCAUCAAAUCAAAUACGUGAGAAAAUAUUUUAGAUUAAAAUCAUUAAUUGUUAAUAUAAAACAUAAAGAUACAACAACAUUUUUCCGAAAGUUAUUCAAACAACGAAACGUAAUUGCGACCAACUUCAUGAGCAUUGUUAAGUUGGCUGCAGCACUUCAAAUUGCUGGGCAGCAUUGGCAGCUCAUGUCGAGAGUGCUGCCAAGUCAACAUAUUGACAAUUAUUUCACAUGAAUGAGUUCUAAGAAGUGCAAACUAACUGAAACUCAAGUCAGCGACAUAAAGUUGAAUAACUGUAUACGCAAAUCCUUUCAAUCAAUUAUGAGGAAUUAAGUGAGGAGAACCCUAGGGAAGGAAUGCACUAUAAAAUUUCCAACUCGAUUAAGCUAUUCAGAUGGAUUAUAAGCUGAAGAGCAGCAGGCAAAAUGGAAUGGAACAAGACGAGGAAGCGAGACUUUCAAUGUUUUUUUUUUCAAUGUUUUUUUCGGGGGCGAAGUGUGGCAUCCUUAAGGAUGCGAGGCAAGCAAAUGAAGUUAAAUCGGCAGUAGUUGUGUGCGGGGCGGCCUCAGUUUCAGAGCACUCUCCAUUCAAAUGGCAGCCGCAUGUGGUGCACGGCAUGUGGGGCGGACGUUGUGUGUGUGUGUGUGUGUGCCUUGUGGCAUGUGGCAUGUGGCAUAUAGCCGGGCACACGCUGCCCAGGCGCUUCGUUUGUUCGUUCAUCAACAACAGCAGCAACAUCAGCUUUCGCUGGCCUUGUGCAACAGCCUCAUUAUAAAUAGCGGCCCGACUGUUGCACGGCAGCGCAGUCGACGGCGACGUCAGCGUCAACGUCACGGCUACCUGUUGGAAAUGCAAACAGCACUCGUCCCGCCUUCCCUCUCGCGCUUCCCCAGUCUACGACAGCGACGUCGACAGCGCGAGCUCUGCGACUGCGCUGGAAACAACUCUCCACUCCAUUCGAGGCGAGCACUUCGUGUUGCGCCACCCCCUCCCCUAACCCUUGACGAAUCUCUACACUGGCGAAUGCUGCUCGUUGGCGCCAACUUUUGAAUUGUGCCGAACGCACGAAAACCGUUACGAAAGAGAUAGCGAAAUCAAAUCCAAUUCAAAUA